rnacentral:rRNA from 1 species
GAAUGCUGACAUAAGUAACGAUAAAGCGGGUGAAAAGCCCGCUCGCCGGAAGACCAAGGGUUCCUGUCCAACGUUAAUCGGGGCAGGGUGAGUCGACCCCUAAGGCGAGGCCGAAAGGCGUAGUCGAUGGGAAACGGGUUAAUAUUCCCGUACUUGGUGUUACUGCGAAGGGGGGACGGAGAAGGCUAUGUUGGCCGGGCGACGGUUGUCCCGGUUUAAGCGUGUAGGUGUGUGUUCCAGGUAAAUCCGGUUCACUUUAACACUGAGGCGUGACGACGAGGCACUACGGUGCUGAAGCAACAAAUGCCCUGCUUCCAGGAAAAGCCUCUAAGCAUCAGGUAACAUCAAAUCGUACCCCAAACCGACACAGGUGGUCAGGUAGAGAAUACCAAGGCGCUUGAGAGAACUCGGGUGAAGGAACUAGGCAAAAUGGUGCCGUAACUUCGGGAGAAGGCACGCUGACACGUAGGUGAAGUGAUUUACUCAUGGAGCUGAAGUCAGUCGAAGAUACCAGCUGGCUGCAACUGUUUAUUAAAAACACAGCACUGUGCAAACACGAAAGUGGACGUAUACGGUGUGACGCCUGCCCGGUGCCGGAAGGUUAAUUGAUGGGGUCAGCGCAAGCGAAGCUCCUGAUCGAAGCCCCGGUAAACGGCGGCCGUAACUAUAACGGUCCUAAGGUAGCGAAAUUCCUUGUCGGGUAAGUUCCGACCUGCACGAAUGGCGUAAUGAUGGCCAGGCUGUCUCCACCCGAGACUCAGUGAAAUUGAACUCGCUGUGAAGAUGCAGUGUACCCGCGGCAAGACGGAAAGACCCCGUGAACCUUUACUAUAGCUUGACACUGAACAUUGAGCCUUGAUGUGUAGGAUAGGUGGGAGGCUUUGAAGUGUGGACGCCAGUCUGCAUGGAGCCGACCUUGAAAUACCACCCUUUAAUGUUUGAUGUUCUAACGUGGACCCGUUACCCGGGUUGCGGACAGUGUCUGGUGGGUAGUUUGACUGGGGCGGUCUCCUCCUAAAGAGUAACGGAGGAGCACGAAGGUUGGCUAAUCCUGGUCGGACAUCAGGAGGUUAGUGCAAUGGCAUAAGCCAGCUUGACUGCGAGCGUGACGGCGCGAGCAGGUGCGAAAGCAGGUCAUAGUGAUCCGGUGGUUCUGAAUGGAAGGGCCAUCGCUCAACGGAUAAAAGGUACUCCGGGGAUAACAGGCUGAUACCGCCCAAGAGUUCAUAUCGACGGCGGUGUUUGGCACCUCGAUGUCGGCUCAUCACAUCCUGGGGCUGAAGUAGGUCCCAAGGGUAUGGCUGUUCGCCAUUUAAAGUGGUACGCGAGCUGGGUUUAGAACGUCGUGAGACAGUUCGGUCCCUAUCUGCCGUGGGCGCUGGAGAACUGAGGGGGGCUGCUCCUAGUACGAGAGGACCGGAGUGGACGCAUCACUGGUGUUCGGGUUGUCAUGCCAAUGGCACUGCCCGGUAGCUAAAUGCGGAAGAGAUAAGUGCUGAAAGCAUCUAAGCACGAAACUUGCCCCGAGAUGAGUUCUCCCUGAGACUUAAAGUCUCCUGAAGGAACGUUGAAGACGACGACGUUGAUAGGCCGGGUG